rnacentral:rRNA from 1 species
UACGGGGGGUGCAAACGUUGCUCGGAAUCAUUGGGCGUAAAGCGCACGUAGGCGGUCUUGUAAGUCGGAUGUGAAAGCCCCGGGCUCAACCCGGGAAGUGCAUUCGAAACUGCAAGGCUUGAGUAUGGAAGAGGGUCUCGGAAUUCCCGGUGUAGAGGUGAAAUUCGUAGAUAUCGGGAGGAACACCAGUGGCGAAGGCGGAGACCUGGGCCAAUACUGACGCUGAGGAGCGAAAGCGUGGGGAGCAAACAGG